rnacentral:rRNA from 1 species
GUCAAGAUAGUAAGGGCACACGGUGGAUGCCUUGGCACCUGGAGCCGAUGAAGGACGUGGACGACUGCGAUAAGCCACGGUGAGGCGUUUAACAGCCUUUGACCCGUGGAUUUCCGAAUGGGGAAACCCAGCGCUUGUAAUUGGGCGUUACUCCCAUCUGAACACAUAGGGUGGGUAGAGGUAAGCGGGGGAAGUGAAACAUCUCAGUACCCCGAGGAAAGUAAAUCAACCGAGACUCCCUGAGUAGUGGCGAGCGAAAAGGGAUCAGCCUAAACCGUGCACGUGUAAGUGGCUACAUGUUGCGUGUGCGGGGUUGUAGGACAGCGAUGUCAGUCGUAGCCGGCUGGCCGAGAGUUACAAAAUUUCAUGGUAGGCGAAGCGCGUGGAACCGCGCACCAUAGAGGGCAAACGUCCCGUAGCCGAAACUGUGGAGUCUCUCGCAGCUGUUCCUGAGUAGGUCCGCGCCCGUGAAACGCGGACUGAAUCUAGGGGGACCACCCUCUAAGGCUAAGUACUUCCAGGUGACCGAUAGCGGACUAGUACCGUGAGGGAAAGGUGAAAAGAACCCCGGAAGGGGAGUGAAAUAGAACCUGAAACUGUGUGCCUACAAGAGGUCGGAGCAUCCUUUGUGGUGUGACGGCGUGCUUUUUGCAUAACGAGCCUGCGAGUUGCUCGUAUGCGGCGAGGUUAAGCGAUGAGCGGAGCCGUAGCGAAAGCGAGUCCGAAUAGGGCGUUUUAGUCGUAUGCGGCAGACCCGAAACUGAGUGAGCUACCCAUGGGCAGGUUGAAGCGGGGGUAAGACCUCGUGGAGGACCGAACCCACGUAAGGUGAAAUUUGCGGGGAUGACCUGUGGGUCGGAGUGAAAGGCUAAUCAAACUCAGUGAUAUCUGGUUCUCUCCGAAAUAUAUUUAGGUAUAGCCUCCGGUAAAUUUGCGUGUCGGCUGUAGAGCUACUGUUUGGUCUAGGGGCCCUACCAGGUUACCGAAACCAGGCAAACUCCGAAGACCGAUACGUCUACCCGGGGAGUCAGUUGCUGGGGGAUAAACUUCAGCGUCAAAAGGGAAACAGCCCAGAUCGCCGGCUAAGGUCCCUAAGUGCAUGCUAAGUGGGUAACGAUGUCUGAGUGCAUAGACAACCAGGAGGUUGGCUUAGAGGCAGCCAUCCUUGAAAGAGUGCGUAACAGCUCACUGGUCUAGUGUUCGGGCGCGGACAAUUCAACGGGGCUCAAGCAUGCCACCGAAGCCGCGGGCUUCACCUUUGGGUGGAGCGGUAGGAGAGCGUUCCCGUGUCGUUGAAGCGGCCGCGUAAGCGAGUCGUGGAGAAGCGGGAAGUGAGAAUGCAGGCAUAAGUAACGAAAGAAGAGUGAGAAUCUCUUCCACCGAUUUCCUAAGGAUUCCUGAGCAACGUUCGUCGGCUCAGGGUUAGUCGGGACCUAAGGCGAGGCCGAAAGGCGUAGUCGAUGGAUAACAGGUUGAUAUUCCUGUACCGCGUCGCACCCGUUUGACUGAUGGGGGGACGAGUGAGGCUAGGGGUAGCAGGCGAUGGUUGUUCCUGCACCAAGUUGCGUAGGGGUGGGUCUAGGCAAAUCCGGACCCGCAUAACCUGAGGCACGAUGGCAGCUGGCGUUCGCGCCGGCGAGUCCCUGACGCCAUGGCUCCAAGAAAAGCCUCUAGGGAGGUUGCGCGCGCCCGUACCAAAACCGACACAGGUGGGAAAGUAGAGAAUACUAAGGUGAUCGAGAUAACCCUCGUUAAGGAACUCGGCAAAAUUGCUCCGUAACUUCGGGAGAAGGAGCGCCCCGGUAACGUGAAGCCCUUUCGGGUGGAGCGUGAGGGGGCCGCAGUGAAUAGGUUCAACCGACUGUUUACCAAAAACACAGGUCUCUGCAAAGUCGUAAGACGACGUAUAGGGGCUGACGCCUGCCCGGUGCCGGAAGGUUACGUGGAGUUGUUAGUCGCAAGGCGAAGCAGCGAAACUAAGCCCCGGUAAACGGCGGCCGUAACUAUAACGGUCCUAAGGUAGCGAAAUUCCUUGUCGGGUAAGUUCCGACCUGCACGAAUGGCGUAACGAGUUGAACGCUGUCUCAACGAGGGGCUCGGUGAAAUUUCAGUCUCGGUGAAGAUGCCGAGUACCCGUGGCUAGACGGAAAGACCCCGUGCACCUUUACUACAACUUGGUAUUGGGGUUCGAUGCAUUUUGCUCAGAAUAGGUGGGAGGCUACGAGGCAUGGAUUGCGGUCUGUGCGGAGCCAACUUUGAGAUACCACCCCUGAUGUAUUGGACUUCUAACCUGACGCCGUGAAUCCGGGUCGGGAACAGUGCCAGGCGGGUAGUUUGACUGGGGCGGUCGCCUCCUAAAAUGUAACGGAGGCGUACAAAGGUUCCCUCAGUACGGUUGGAAACCGUGCGUAGAGUGCAAAGGCAGUAAGGGAGCUUGACUGCGAGACUUACAAGUCGAGCAGGUACGAAAGUAGGUCUUAGUGAUCCGGCGGUAGCAAGUGGAAGCGCCGUCGCUCAACGGAUAAAAGGUACGCCGGGGAUAACAGGCUUAUCGAGCCCAAGAGUCCACAUCGACGGCUCGGUUUGGCACCUCGAUGUCGGCUCGUCGCAUCCUGGGGCUGUAGUAGGUCCCAAGGGUUGGGCUGUUCGCCCAUUAAAGCGGCACGCGAGCUGGGUUCAGAACGUCGUGAGACAGUUCGGUCCCUAUCUGCCAUGGGCGUUGGAGAAUUGAGAGGAUUUGCCCCUAGUACGAGAGGACCGGGGUGAACGGACCUCUGGUGUAUCUGUUGUUCUGCCAAGGGCAUUGCAGAUUAGCUACGUCUGGAUCGGAUAACCGCUGAAAGCAUCUAAGCGGGAAGCCGGCCUCGAGAUGAAUUCUCCCAUCCCCUUUGAGGGAGUAAGGACCCUGGUAGACCACCAGGUUGAUAGGCCGGAUCUGGAAGGGCAGUAAUGCCUGCAGGAGACCGGUACUAAUGGUCCGAGGGCUUGACGGU